CUGCGGCAGCGACACUAUGUGUUGUUGGGUAGGGGAGCGUUCUGUAAGCCUGUGAAGGUGUGUCGUGAGGCAUGCUGGAGGUAUCAGAAGUGCGAAUGCUGACAUAAGUAACGAUAAAGCGGGUGAAAAGCCCGCUCGCCGGAAGACCAAGGGUUCCUGUCCAACGUUAAUCGGGGCAGGGUGAGUCGACCCCUAAGGCGAGGCCGAAAGGCGUAGUCGAUGGGAAACGGGUUAAUAUUCCCGUACUUGGUGUUACUGCGAAGGGGGGACGGAGAAGGCUAUGUUGGCCGGGCGACGGUUGUCCCGGUUUAAGCGUGUAGGUGUGUGUUCCAGGUAAAUCCGGUUCACUUUAACACUGAGGCGUGACGACGAGGCACUACGGUGCUGAAGCAACAAAUGCCCUGCUUCCAGGAAAAGCCUCUAAGCAUCAGGUAACAUCAAAUCGUACCCCAAACCGACACAGGUGGUCAGGUAGAGAAUACCAAGGCGCUUGAGAGAACUCGGGUGAAGGAACUAGGCAAAAUGGUGCCGUAACUUCGGGAGAAGGCACGCUGACACGUAGGUGAAGUGAUUUACUCAUGGAGCUGAAGUCAGUCGAAGAUACCAGCUGGCUGCAACUGUUUAUUAAAAACACAGCACUGUGCAAACACGAAAGUGGACGUAUACGGUGUGACGCCUGCCCGGUGCCGGAAGGUUAAUUGAUGGGGUCAGCGCAAGCGAAGCUCCUGAUCGAAGCCCCGGUAAACGGCGGCCGUAACUAUAACGGUCCUAAGGUAGCGAAAUUCCUUGUCGGGUAAGUUCCGACCUGCACGAAUGGCGUAAUGAUGGCCAGGCUGUCUCCACCCGAGACUCAGUGAAAUUGAACUCGCUGUGAAGAUGCAGUGUACCCGCGGCAAGACGGAAAGACCCCGUGAACCUUUACUAUAGCUUGACACUGAACAUUGAGCCUUGAUGUGUAG
rnacentral:rRNA from 2 species